UAAGAGGUCCCGCCUGCCCAGUGACUACUUGUUCAACGGCCGCGGUAUUUUGACCGUGCAAAGGUAGCGUAAUCAUUUGUCUUUUAAAUGAAGACCAGUAUGAAAGGCGCCACGAGGGCUCGACUGUCUCCUCUUUCAAGUCAAUGAAAUUGAUCUCCCCGUGCAGAAGCGGGGAUAACACCAUAAGACGAGAAGACCCUAUGGAGCUUUAGAUACGAGGCAGAUCAUGUCAAUUAACCCGCAUAAAGGACCAAACCUAGUGAAAACUGCCACAAUAUCUUAGGUUGGGGCGACCAUGGAGUAAUGAAAACCCUCCACGUGGAAUGGGAGCAUAUCACACUUAUACCGUUACCUCACACCCCCUCCCAAAAUCAAGGGUUACAACCCUAACUACCAGAAUUUCUGACCUAAAUUGAUCCGGCAAUGCCGAUUAGCGGACCAAGUUACCCUAGGGAUAACAGCGCAAUCCCCUUUUAGAGCCCAUAUCGACAAGGGGGUUUACGACCUCGAUGUUGGAUCAGGACAUCCUAUUGGUGCAGCCGCUAUUAAGGGUUCGUUUGUUCAACG
rnacentral:rRNA from 1 species